GGAGGGAUUAAAAAUUACCGCUUUAGGUCAGAUGUACCUUCCCCACCUUCUCAUACUGCCGUAGGAGGUCCAGCUUCACUCCUUCCUAAGCGUAAACCCCUGACUGAAGAAGAAAUUGAGGCUAUUAUGGUAUGCCUUUUGUUCACAGAAGCUGAAUAUAAAUGCAAAUGCUAUGUUUGGUCUUAGCAUUUGGUUUAUUGAAUUAAUUCAUUUUGUUGGAUUUCAAUCCAUAUGAAUUAUGCAUCAAAUUUGCAUAUUGUUUAUAAUGUUGUCAUUUGGCAUGCAUGGAACUUAAAGGUUAAAGUACAGUCUUAAUGAUAAUAGCAAAAUGCAUGCUUAAUCCAGUUGGAAAAACUUAGUUUGUUGCUUAAAAUCUUGUCAUUUAAUGUUUAGAGCAGUGUUUUUAAGGCGUCGCUUAGGCGUCGGGGCGCUCGAGGCUCGCCUUAGGGGUAAGGCGGCGCCUUGUCGCCUUAUGCACAUGCUGAUGCCCCCUCGAUUCCGCCGUCUCCUCAUCGAUUCUGAUGCGGGUCCUCUCUAUUCCCCUGUCUCCUCGCCGCCGUCAACUCGAUUCUGCCUUCUUCUCGCCACCGGCUGCUCGAUCUGGAAAGGGACGGGAGUGGCUGCAGAUCUGGAAGGGGAGCAGCGAGGGAGGGGAGCAGAGCAGCGCAUCCGAAGAGAGGGGAGGAGCCGCGGACGGAAGCGGAGCUGCAGAGGGAAGUGGGGCGGAGAGACGAGCGGAGGCGGACGAGUGGUGGAGAAUGAGCAGCAGCGCUGGAGGGGAUUCCCAUUGGGAUAAGC
rnacentral:lncRNA from 1 species